UCAGCAGGAUUCACUGUGACAUCUUCGUCACUCUGGACGUCAUGAUGUGCACGGCGAGCAUCCUGAACUUGUGUGCCAUCAGCAUCGACAGGUACACAGCUGUGGCCAUGCCCAUGCUGUACAAUACGCGCUACAGCUCCAAGCGCCGGGUCACCGUCAUGAUCUCCAUCGUCUGGGUCCUGUCCUUCACCAUCUCCUGCCCACUCCUCUUCGGACUCAAUAACGCAGACCAGAACGAGUGCAUCAUUGCCAACCCGGCCUUCGUGGUCUACUCCUCCAUCGUCUCCUUCUACGUGCCCUUCAUUGUCACCCUGCUGGUCUACAUCAAGAUCUACAUUGUCCUCCGCAGACGCCGCAAGCGAGUCAACACCAAACGCAGCAGCCGAGCUUUCAGGGCCCACCUGAGGGCUCCACUAAAGGUCUCAAGACACCCCCCAACCAACUCCAAGGGUCCCCACCUAACCAUUGCCAAGAGGGCUCAUCCUGUGCUCAGGUGGGGGCUUGGGAAACCUCAGCAAGGGUUAGGUCUAGGCUAAAGGAAUUCCC
rnacentral:sRNA from 1 species